GAUGGCUCUUAUCUAUGUUGCUGCUUGAGAAUCUGUGGAAUGGACAAAUUGGUGAUGGCUCUUAUCUAUGUUGCUGCUUGAGAAUCUGUGGAAUUCAAAAGUCUAUUCUUUUGCCAAUGGUCAUAUUGAGGUAAGUAAUUUUAGUUGGAGAUGAGACCAACUAUCACAAUGGAGUCCAUUAUACCUAUUGAUGAUGGAGAGCCUAGUUGUGGCUGUGUUCUCUUUUGCUGCUGGAGAGGCUGAUUCAUUGGAAUGUCCAUGCUGGUGCCUGAGUUCAUAUUGAGAUUGUGAUACCAUUGUGGUUUCCAUUCUUGGUAUAUCUGAUGGAUAAAUUGGUGAUGGCUCUUAUCUAUGCUGCGGCUUGAGAAUCUGCAGAAUUCAAAAGUCUAUUCUUUUGCCAAUGGUCAUAUUGAGGUAAGUAAUUUUAGUUGGAGAUGAGACCAGUAAUCACAAUGGAGUCCAUUAUUCCUAUUGAUGAUGGAGAGCCUAGUUGUGGCUGUGUUCUCUUUUUCUGCUUGAGAGGCUGAUUCAUUGGAAUGUCCAUGCUGGUGCCUGAGUUCAUAUUAAGGUAAGUAUUUUUAGCUGUGCUGUAGAUCAGAUUGUUGUUUUAGAGCCUACCUGUCACUGGAAAUAUGUAGGGUGCCUGCUUUCAACUUACUAUCCCAAC
rnacentral:lncRNA from 1 species